rnacentral:rRNA from 1 species
CUACGGGGGGCUGCAGUCGAGAAUCUUCCUCAAUGCCCGCAAGGGUGAAGGAGCGACGCCGCGUGUUUGAAGACGCCCCUCGGGGUGUAAAGAACUUUUCUACUCGAAGAAGCUUUUAGCAGACGGUAGAGUAGGAAUAAGGACCUCCUAAUUUCGUGCCAGCAGGAGCGGUAAUACGAAAGGUCCAAGCGUUAUCCGGAUUUACUGGGCGUAAAGCGUCCGCAGGCGGCUAGAUAAGUUUUUGGUCAAAUUCCGAGGCUCAACUUCGGAGCUGCCAAAAAAACUGUCUAGCUAGAGGGUGGGAGAGGCGAGUGGAAUGGCUGGUGUAGGAGUCAAAUCCGUUAAUAUCAGCUGGAACACCGAAGGCGAAAGCAGCUCGCUGGAACACUCCUGACACUCAUGGACGAAAGCGUAGGUAGCGAAAGGGAUUAGAUACCCCGGUAGUC